rnacentral:rRNA from 1 species
GUGGGGAAUAUUGGACAAUGGGCGAAAGCCUGAUCCAGCAAUGCCGCGUGUGUGAAGAAGGCCUGCGGGUUGUAAAGCACUUUUAUCGGGAAAGAAAAUCCCAGGGUUAAUACCCCUGGGCCUUGACGGUACCCGAGGAAUAAGCACCGGCUAACUCCGUGCCAGCAGCCGCGGUAAUACGGAGGGUGCAAGCGUUAAUCGGAAUUACUGGGCGUAAAGCGAGUGUAGGCGGCUGCAUAAGUCGGAUGUGAAAUCCCCGGGCUUAACCUGGGAAUGGCAUUCGAUACUGUGCGGCUAGAGUCUGAUAGAGGGAAGUGGAAUUCCAGGUGUAGCGGUGAAAUGCGUAGAUAUCUGGAAGAACAUCAGUGGCGAAGGCGGCUUCCUGGAUCAAGACUGACGCUGAGGCUCGAAAGCGUGGGGAUCAAACAGGAUUAGAAACCCGAGUAGUCC